rnacentral:sRNA from 1 species
CGCCCUUGCUGUGGUAUAAAAUGCGCCGCUUUCCGGGGAUACCCCGAAAAGCUUAAAUCCACACACGUGUCGACACGAUGACCUGGGUGCCGGAGGCCUUGAUGCCGCUGGUUGGUCAUUGGGAUACGUGGAGGCCAAACC